UACGAAGGGGGCUAGCGUUGCUCGGAAUCACUGGGCGUAAAGCGCACGUAGGCGGAUUGCUAAGUCAGGGGUGAAAUCCUGGAGCUCAACUCCAGAACUGCCCUUGAUACUGGCGGUCUCGAGUCCGGGAGAGGUGAGUGGAACUGCGAGUGUAGAGGUGAAAUUCGUAGAUAUUCGCAAGAACACCGGUGGCGAAGGCGGCCACCUGGACGGUAACUGACGCUGAGACGCGAAAGCGUGGGGAGCAAACAGG
rnacentral:rRNA from 1 species